rnacentral:rRNA from 1 species
UGGGGAAUUUUGGACAAUGGGGGAAACCCUGAUCCAGCCAUGCCGCGUGCGGGAAGAAGGCCUUCGGGUUGUAAACCGCUUUUAGCCGGAAAGAAGGGGUUCGAGUGAACAACUUGGAUCUUUGACGGUACCGGCGGAAUAAGCACCGGCUAACUACGUGCCAGCAGCCGCGGUAAUACGUAGGGUGCGAGCGUUAAUCGGAAUUACUGGGCGUAAAGAGUGCGUAGGCGGUUGCUGAAGUCUGCUGUGAAAGCCCCGGGCUCAACCUGGGAAUGGCAGUGGAAACUAGGCGACUUGAAUCUGGCAGAGGGGGGUGGAAUGCCACGUGUAGCAGUGAAAUGCGUAGAGAUGUGGCGGAACACCGAUGGCGAAGGCAGCCCCCUGGGCUGAGAUUGACGCUCAGGCACGAAAGCGUGGGGAGCAAACAGGAUUAGAUACCCCCGUAGUCC